rnacentral:misc_RNA from 1 species
GGUUGUGGACGAUAAGCAUUGCAGAGGCACGGCCAGUAAGCUCGAUGAGAUGGAGGGCGAAGACAUUGAGAGGUGAUUCUUUGGAGGCAUUGGAGCAUUCUAAGAUGUUGAUCAUUCCAGAGACAUUGCGGCUGCUCUGGAAACAAGCUAGGAUCUUAAAUUCGGAGUCAAGUUUUGCUUUCUGUAUUGUCCUCUGCUUGUAUUGGGAAUGACGCUUGUUGGGGUGGUAAAUCGAGGAUAUAAUAGAUGGGACUACUCCAGUCAUCAGCAGAAUAGCAAGCACCAUUAUCGCAUAUUCUUCGCUUGGCAACAACAAUUUGUCGAAGCCCAUGUGAAGAAUGAUCAAUGCCAAGAUGCCUUUGGUGUUCAUAAGAACUCCAAGAGCAAAACCAUGUUGACGAGGCAUCUUGUAGAAAUGAGAAGCCAAGAAAAUGCUUACAAUCUUAGCCCCACAGCACAAGAUUAUUAGCAGCAAUGCUACACCCCAGUGGCUUA